rnacentral:rRNA from 1 species
AUUGAACGCUGGCGGAAUGCUUACACAUGCAAGUCGAACGGCAGCACGGACUUCGGUCUGGUGGCGAGUGGCGAACGGGUGAGUAACAUAUCGGAACGUAUCCAAUAAUGGGGGAUAACGAGUCGAAAGAUUCGCUAAUACCGCAUACGCCCUACGGGGGAAAGCUGGGGACCUUCGGGCCUGGCGAUAAUGGAGCGGCCGAUAUCUGAUUAGCUAGUUGGUGAGGUAAAGGCUCACCAAGGCGACGAUCAGUAGCUGGUCUGAGAGGACGACCAGCCACACUGGAACUGAGACACGGUCCAGACUCCUACGGGAGGCAGCAGUGGGGAAUUUUGGACAAUGGGCGCAAGCCUGAUCCAGCCAUUCCGCGUGAGUGAAGAAGGCCUUCGGGUUGUAAAGCUCUUUCGCAAGGGAAGAAAACUUAGCCACUAACAUUGGUUGAGGUUGACGGUACCUUGAUAAGAAGCACCGGCUAACUACGUGCCAGCCGCCGCGGUAA